UUUAAUGGCCGCGGUAUUUUGACCGUGCUAAGGUAGCAUAAUCAUUAGUUUUUUAAUUGAAAGCUGGAAUGAAGGGUUGGAUGAAAAAAUAACUGUCUUUAUUAAAUUAUAAUAGAAUUUUAUUUUUAAGUUAAAAAGCUUAAAUAUUUUUAAAAGACGAGAAGACCCUAUAGAGUUUUAUAAUAAAUUUUUAUUUUUUUUUAGUAUUUAAUUAAAAUUAUUUAAUUUAUUAUUUUAUUGGGGUGAUUGAAAAAUUUAAUUAACUUUUUUUUUAUUUUUAUAUUGAUUUAUAAAUUAUUGAUCCAAUAUUUUUGAUUAAAAGAUAAAGUUACCUUAGGGAUAACAGCGUAAUUUUAUUAGAGAGUU
rnacentral:rRNA from 1 species